CCGAGAAAGAGAUGAGUGAGUGAAUGGAAAUUUGAAAGAGGAAAAGAAAGAGUUUUUUCCCCCCUCAGAAAGACUCUUUCUUAUGAAAAAUCCGACGCGCUCUGUCACCUGCAUGGAAGGGAAUGCAAAUGAAUCAGGGGUUAAUUAGAAAAGAGGCUUCAUUUCCUCAGACUUCUCAGUCAUGAAUUUCCACAGGGACUAAGCCAGGCUGCGGCAGACCUUUUACAAAAUCUGGAGGUAAACACGAGAUGAUAUUUAAACCCCCUCGAAAGUAAUGAAAGCUCGUAUUAAUCUAUUCAUUCUAUUCACUGCAGUCUCGUGUCCAAUCUCUAUUAAUAAACUCACAGGCAGCCGUGUCGAAUUGGAGGGCUUGGAUAAGAAUGAAUUUGAGUUAGAGCUCACGACAUGCGCUCUUCUUCCCCAUUGCUGCCCAGUAUCAGUCCUGGGGUUUAAAUCUUUCGAAGUAGUGAUGGAAGCAGAUACCGGUUUAUUUCUCAUCUUACAAACAGCAGUUUCAUGUGUUACAAGCACUUAAAAGAAGCAAUGUAUAGAGGGCUGUUAUGAAUACUAGCAUGCUGUGAAAGCUAAGCGCUACCACUGCUAUCUAUCUGAGGACCUUCCGAUUCUGCCAUGUUUUAUGCUCUUCCUCAGUGGCCCUGAAGUACAAGAAUGUUAAGAGGAUCACUAUGUCACUGUCACUAUGGUCAAUGGACAAGGCAAUGUCGAAACACUUUAUACCUGUUGUUUUUAGUCAAAUGUUACCCAAAAUGCUUAAUAAGCCAUAAGUAAUGGCUAAGUCCAUUAUGUAAUAAUUCCAGUGUUUAAUAAUUCUGUUUUUGUGCAUAUCUGAUACUAAUUUUACUUAGAAAUGAAAAACUCUAAGAUAUGUUGUUUUUGUUUUUGUGUGUGUGUGUAUGUGUCGUGGUUAAUACAUCACCCUUAUUAACUACGUGGCCAAUGAGCUAUCUUCAUACCACACUAUAUAAGUGGUUGUUUAUGCCUCACGAAAUGCGACAUGGUCGAAAACCCGCCCCUUCCUUUGGUUGCUAUGGACUACAGAGGAGCUGAGUGCUUCCUGAGACUGGGGGAGUUCUUUGCUGCACUUUAGGCUUUUACUUAACCAAGGCUGGUGCUGUCGUACUAGCCUGCCCUUCAUACAGGAAGCCUCAGUCCUCCUAUGAUUAUUGUUAAUUUCCUCUUGUGACUGUUUUAUUUGACCAAUGCCUGACUGUGUUGGCUGCUUUUUAUUUAUUUAUUUUUUUAAAUAGUUCUUGGCCAGUGUUUAACUUUUAAAUAAAAUAAACUUUUGUAUGGAAA